GUCGAACGAAGAUCGUUACAAAAUGGAAGGAAGAUUUAUCGGAAUGAACUUUUGUAACAAUGGUCUUAGUGGCGGACUGGUGAGUAACGCGUAAGUAACCUGCCUGUUAGAGGGGAAUAACAAUGAGAAAUCAUUGCUAAUACCGCAUAUGCCAUAAUUAUCACAUGAUAAUAGUGGGAAAGGAGUAAUUCGCUAACAGAUGGACUUGGUCUGAUUAGAUAGUUGGUGGGGUAAAGGCCUACCAAGUCGACGAUCAGUAGCCGGACUGAGAGGUUGAACGGCCACACUGGGACUGAGACACGGCCCAGACUCCUACGGGAGGCAGCAGUAGGGAAUUUUCGUCAAUGGGCGCAAGCCUGAACGAGCAAUGCCGCGUGAACGAGGAAGGUCUUCGGAUCGUAAAGUUCUGUUGAAGGGGAAAAAGAGCGGAGAGAGGAAAUGGUCUCCGAUUGAUAUUACCCUUCGAGGAAGUCACGGCUAACUACGUGCCAGCAGCCGCGGUAAUACGUAGGUGGCGAGCGUUAUCCGGAAUGAUUGGGCGUAAAGGGUGCGUAGGCGGCCUGCUAAGUCUGGAGUGAAAGGUACCGGCUCAACCGGUACAGGCUCUGGAAACUGGCGGGCUAGAGAGCAGGAGAGGGCGGUGGAACUCCAUGUGUAGCGGUAAAAUGCGUAGAUAUAUGGAAGAACACCAGUGGCGAAGGCGGCCGCCUGGCCUGUUACUGACGCUGUGGCACGAAAGCGUGGGGAGCAAAUAGGAUUAGAUACCCUAGUAG
rnacentral:rRNA from 1 species